GCACCCGUAUUGCUAGUGGGUCAGGCAGCUGGACUCUCAAUCCAGUGACGCGGGUUCGAUUCCCGCCGGGUGUGCCA
rnacentral:tRNA from 1 species